rnacentral:rRNA from 1 species
GAUCAUGGCCAGGAUGAACGCUAGCGACAGGCUUAACACAUGCAAGUCGAGGGGCAGCACAGGUAGCAAUACCGGGUGGCGACCGGCGCACGGGUGAGUAACGCGUAUGCAACUUACCUAUCAGAGGGGGAUAACCCGGCGAAAGUCGGACUAAUACCGCAUGAAGCAGGGGCCCCGCAUGGGGAUAUUUGCUAAAGAUUUAUCGCUGAUAGAUAGGCAUGCGUUCCGUUAGGCAGUUGGG